CCAAGAAUAUAUUCUUAACAUUUGAUGUUUUGUGUCUUUUUCAGCCUAUGAGUGGGACACUUAAAGAAAGAUUAAAGAAAGCAAGAGCUUCAUCUCAACCUUUUUGUAGUGUGGUGAAGCGUAUUAAGGUAGAGAAUGAAGAAAAUGAUCAGACCCUUUCAGAACCAGGAGAAUCUUCAAAAGAAGAAAACUGUUCAAAAGCCCAAGAAAGCCUGGAAAACAAAGACAAUGAACCUGAAAAAGAGAGCUCAGAGGAUAAAAAUACGAGUGAAUCUAAGUCACUUGAUACUGGGUCAUCCAGUGUCCUCCAAAAAGAUUCUACUGAGAAGACUAUAAAGCAAACUUUGAAGGAAGAAAAAGCAAAACUGACUAGGCAGGUUCAAGAGAAGGAAGACCUUCUUCGGAGGUUAAAGUUAGUCAAAAUGUACAGAAUAAAGAAUGACGUGACUGAGUUAGAGGAUUUAAUAAAGAAGUGGAGGAGGUGUGGCCAGCGGCUGCUGUGCGAGUUGCAGUCAAUCAUGUCCGAGGAUGAGGACGAGAAGCUGACCCUCACUGAGUUGAUCGACUACUAUGGGAUAGACGACAAAUUGCUGCACUAUAAUAG
rnacentral:lncRNA from 1 species